UCCCUGGUGGUCCAGUGGUUAAGACUAUGGGCUUCCACUGCCGGAGGCAUAGGUUCAACCCCUGACCGGGGAA
rnacentral:tRNA from 1 species